UACAGAGGGUGCGAGCGUUAAUCGGAAUUACUGGGCGUAAAGCGCACGUAGGUGGCGACGUAAGUCGGGUGUGAAAGCCCCGGGCUCAACCUGGGAAUUGCAUUCGAGACUGCAUUGCUGGAGUACGGAAGAGGAGGGCGGAAUUCCCGGUGUAGCGGUGAAAUGCGUAGAUAUCGGGAGGAACAUCAGUGGCGAAGGCGGCCCUCUGGUCCAGUACUGACACUCAUGAGCGAAAGCGUGGGGAGCGAUCCGG
rnacentral:rRNA from 1 species